CUUUAUGGUUGCAACAUAUUGAGGCGGAUUAAAACAAACAAGCUACAAUCAGUAUUCAGUUCUGCGUAUGAAUACUGUAGAAAUAAGGCAUUUUUAUACAGUUGUACUCAUCCACUAAGGAUAUAUUUACGUUUUUCUCGGCUGAAUAUCUGUCAAAAGUUCAACGUCAACCCGCAAGCCAAGUAUAUCAAGUCACGCCUCAGUCAAGUUCUGAAGGCGUUGCCCCUGGCAACCGAUAGCGUGUCCUUCCAUCAUGGCCGACCGGCUCAGACCCCUCCCAAAUCGGCACGUGACUCCUCACUCUCAAUAUGGAAUACAAGCUGUACAUGAUACUUAAUGGCAAACCCAGGAACAUGAUUGGACUUCUGCUUUUUCAAUUGCUUUUACAAGGUGUUCUGAUUUAUGAUGCUUUGGGAUGGGAAGUGACAAUGCCAAAGGAAAUUCACGGUCUCAGAGGUUCCCGUCUGGUCAUACCAUGUUCUUUCAGCUACACAUCAGACCCGCCCAAAGACCCAAGUAGAGUUGUGUGGUAUCAGUGGGUCUCUAAAGGUUAUCCUUUAGUUUACGAUCCUUUUUAUGUAAACAAUGUAAUUGAUAAAUUCAAUGGUAAAACUGAUUUAUAGAGAGAAUCAGGUGAAUGCAGUCUGCUGAUUACCACACUGGAACAGUCCCACCAUGGAGAGAAAAUAUAUGCAUGGAUUGACCCUAAAAAUGUUGGAUGGCGCACCUACGCAUUUUAUGAUGUCACGUCUACAAUUUUUGUCGAUAGUAAGUAAAUACUGUUGUAAUAAUAUUCCUGUAAUAUGUGAUAGUCCAAAUGUAUUGAAUAAAAG